rnacentral:rRNA from 1 species
CACGUAGGGCGCAAGCGUUGUCCGGAAUUAUUGGGCGUAAAGAGCUCGUAGGCGGUCUGUUGCGUCCGCUGUGAAAACUCGGGGCUUAACCCCGAGCCUGCAGUGGAUACGGGCAGACUAGAGGUAGGUAGGGUAGAUCGGAAUUCCUGGUGUAGCGGUGAAAUGCGCAGAUAUCAGGAGGAACACCGGUGGCGAAGGCGGAUCUCUGGGCCUUACCUGACGCUCAGGUGCGAAAGCUAGGGGAGCGAACAGG